rnacentral:rRNA from 1 species
CGGACGGGUGAGUAACACGUGGAUAACCUACCUAUAAGACUGGGAUAACUACGGGAAACCGGAGCUAAUACCGGAUAAUAUAUUGAACCGCAUGGUUCAAUAGUGAAAGACGGUUUUGCUGUCACUUAUAGAUGGAUCCGCGCCGCAUUAGCUAGUUGGUAGGGUAACGGAUUACCAAGGCAACGAUGCGUAGCCGACCUGAGAGGGUGAUCGGCCACACUGGAACUGAGACACGGUCCAG